rnacentral:rRNA from 1 species
UACAGAGGUCUCAAGCGUUGUUCGGAUUCAUUGGGCGUAAAGGGUGCGUAGGCGGCGCGGUAAGUCGGGUGUGAAAUUUCGAGGCUUAACUUCGAAACUGCAUUCGAUACUGCCGUGCUUGAGGACUGGAGAGGAGACUGGAAUUUACGGUGUAGCGGUGAAAUGCGUAGAUAUCGGGAGGAACACCGGUGGCGAAGGCGGCGACCUGGGUAGAUACUGACGCUGAGGCGCGAAAGCGUGGGGAGCAAACAGG